rnacentral:pre_miRNA from 1 species
CUCUAGAGGGAAGCACUUUCUGUUGUCUGAAAGAAACCAAAGCGCUUCCCUUUGGAGCG